UACGAAGGGGGCUAGCGUUGCUCGGAAUCACUGGGCGUAAAGCGCACGUAGGCGGCUUUCUAAGUCAGGGGUGAAAUCCUGGAGCUCAACUCCAGAACUGCCUUUGAUACUGGAGAGCUUGAGUCUGGAAGAGGUGAGUGGAACUCCGAGUGUAGAGGUGGAAUUCGUAGAUAUUCGGAAGAACACCAGUGGCGAAGGCGGCUCACUGGUCCGGUACUGACGCUGAUGUGCGAAAGCGUGGGGAGCAAACAGG
rnacentral:rRNA from 1 species